rnacentral:rRNA from 1 species
GACGAACGCUGGCGGCGUGCCUAACACAUGCAAGUCGAACGGAGUCGGCCCCGCAAGGGACUGACUUAGUGGCGAACGGGUGAGUAACGCGUGAGCAACCUGCCUUUCAGUGGGGGACAACAGUUGGAAACGACUGCUAAUACCGCAUAAUGCAUUUUGACCGCAUGAUCGAGAUGCCAAAGAUUUAUUGCUGAAAGAUGGGCUCGCGUCUGAUUAGAUAGUUGGUGAGGUAACGGCCCACCAAGUCGACGAUCAGUAGCCGGACGGAGAGGUUGAACGGCCCAAUGUGGGAUGGGGUUACGCCCAGACUCCCACGGGAGGGAGGAGGGGGGAAAAAUGGGGAAAUGGGGAAACCCUGACCCAGCAACGCCGCGUGAAGGAAGAAGGCUUUCGGGGUGUAAACUUCUUUUACCAGGGACGAAGAAAGUGACGGUACCUGGAGAAAAAGCCACGGCUAACUACGUG